UAAAGGUAUUCCGGUAGACGAUGGGGAUGCGUUCCAUUAGAUAGUAGGCGGGGUAACGGCCCACCUAGUCUUCGAUGGAUAGGGGUUCUGAGAGGAAGGUCCCCCACAUUGGAACUGAGACACGGUCCAAACUCCUACGGGAGGCAGCAGUGAGGAAUAUUGGUCAAUGGGCGAGAGCCUGAACCAGCCAAGUAGCGUGAAGGAUGACUGCCCUAUGGGUUGUAAACUUCUUUUAUAAAGGAAUAAAGUCGGGUAUGGAUACCCGUUUGCAUGUACUUUAUGAAUAAGGAUCGGCUAACUCCGUGCCAGCAGCCGCGGUAAUACGGAGGAUCCGAGCGUUAUCCGGAUUUAUUGGGUUUAAAGGGAGCGUAGAUGGAUGUUUAAGUCAGUUGUGAAAGUUUGCGGCUCAACCGUAAAAUUGCAGUUGAUACUGGAUAUCUUGAGUGCAGUUGAGGCAGGCGGAAUUCGUGGCGUAGCGGUGAAAUGCUUAGAUAUCACGAAGAACUCCGAUUGCGAAGGCAGCCUGCUAAGCUGCAACUGACAUUGAGGCUCGAAAGUGUGGGUAUCAAACAGGAUUAGAUACCCUGGUAGUCCACACGGUAAACGAUGAAUACUCGCUGUUUGCGAUAUACGGCAA
rnacentral:rRNA from 1 species